GUGCUCGCUUUGGCAGCACAUAUACUAAAAUUGAAACAAUACAGAGAAGAUCAGCAUGGCCUCUGUGCAAGGAUGACAUGCAAAUUCGUGAAGCGUUCCAUAUUUUU
ensembl:snRNA U6 U6 spliceosomal RNA